CAUCUCUGCACAGCACAGGUGAGCUUCCACUUAAACAUACUAAUGAGUUCAUGCAAUAAUCAUUGUCUGCUCACAGCGAAGACAGUGCUGCUGUUUUGUGAUUAUCUAAGUGAGAGAAAGAAGUGGUGUCAGAGAUCCUGCUGUGCAGGAAUUCAUAUGAAACCGUCAUUUCCUUUUGUAUGUGUUACCAAUGAAGAUGCUGCAGCGCUGGAGAAGGCACCAAACUGAGCCAAGGGGAAGGCUGGCCCAAACAAAUGUCUUGGAAACCAAAAAGUGAAGAGAUGUGUUUGUUCCUGCUGCCUUCAGGAGAGGAGAUGUUUGUGAGAGAUACACACAAAUAACACCGUGAUAAACACUC